GACGAACGCUGGCGGCGUGCUUAACACAUGCAAGUCGAACGGAAAGGCCUGCUUUCCCUUGUGGAUUGCGGGUACUCGGGUGGAGAACGGGUGAGUAACACGUGCGUGAUAUGGACACAACUUGGAUAUAAGCCUGGGCAACUGGGUCUAAUUAUCGAUAGGACUGCAGGGUGGUGGCGGUGGUGGAGAACGAUUUUCUAGUGGUUGGGGAUGAGCUCGCGGCCUAUGAGCUUGUUGGUGGGGAAGUGGCCUCCCAAGGCGGCGACGGGUAGCCGGCCGGAGAGGGUGGAGGGCCUCAUUGGGACUGAGAUACGGCCCAGACACCUAGGGGAGGCAGCAGCUGGUAAGAGUGGACGAAGUGCGGAAGCCUGAGGCAGCGACGCCGCGUUGGGGAUGACGGGCUGCGGGUUGGAAGCUCCUUUCGACCGCGAGGAAGCCAUCUGGUGGGAAGGGUGGUGACGGUAGUGGUAGAAGAAGCUCCGGCUAACUACGUG
rnacentral:rRNA from 1 species